rnacentral:rRNA from 1 species
GAUGAACGCUGGCGGCGUGCUUAACACAUGCAAGUCGAACGGUGAACCCGGAGCUUGCUCUGUGGGAUCAGUGGCGAACGGGUGAGUAACACGUGAGCAACCUGCCCCUGACUCUGGGAUAAGCGCUGGAAACGGCGUCUAAUACUGGAUAUGUGACGUGAUCGCAUGGUCUGCGUCUGGAAAGAAUUUCGGUUGGGGAUGGGCUCGCGGCCUAUCAGCUUGUUGGUGAGGAAGUGGCUCACCAAGGCGUCGAUGGGUAGCCGGCCUGGGAGGGUGACCGGCCCCACUGGGCUUCGGAAGGGACCCGUACGCCAUCGGGGGCAAGGGGGGGGAACUUUUCCCAACUGGGCCCAGGCCGAGUCCAGCACCGCCGGGUGGGGAAGGCCGUCUUUCGGGUUGAAAACCCCUUUAGCAGGGAAGAAGCGAAAGUGACGGUACCUGCAGAAAAAGCGCCGGCUAACUACGUG